ensembl:lncRNA
GUGAUUUGUAGUAACGUCCUUUUUUUUAUUCCUUCUUUCACUGGAUCUGUGUCUCAUUGUCUCACAUUCCCCUGCAGGGCCUGAUGGCAGCCUUCCUAAAGCUCAUACUGCGCUCUGCAUAUGAAAUGAGGCCAAGAGUGUAUUUGAAAGCCAUGCGAACUGAGAGGAAUGUUCUGCAGCUUCCAGGGUGUGUGGCAGGAAUAAAACCAGACGAUAUGGCAAGGUCGAAGGGGCGCUUGGACAUAAUCCAGAUCUCCCAGGGGCCACAGAGUACAGGAGAGAGACAGUCUGCCAGACGAGCACAAACCCCUUUGUCCUGAAGACUUUCCUGUGCUGAUAAACUUUGUUACAAAGCGCUUACGACCGAGGAUCCCUCCAUAAAUGUUACAUAAAUGUCUCCACAUCAACGAUUAUACUUCCUACUUUGUUAAACCACAUGCUUUUAAAUCUGUUUAGUCUUCGAUUAUGUGGCAGAAACAAUAAAGAAACAUUAAUAAAGCAUUACAACGAG